UUCGUAUUUUUUAUGGUCCAAUUUUCGAAGCGAUCAUUCUCUCCAUUUUCCUUAUCUCUUCAUUUCUCUUCUAUGCAAGAGAGAGACUACAUCUAUUUUCUUCAUCUCCGCUUACUUCCAUCACCACCACACCAUUUCCUUCACCACCACAGAUCACAUAACCACCAUCAACUACUUCCAUCAUCAUAACAUCACCUUCUCCCUUGAUUUAUUUUGCAUACACAUAAUCAACGGAAACCCACAAGAACCCUAGAAUAUAAAUCUGGAUUGUUUCUACCUCACAGAUUGAAACUCAUUGUUAGAAACCAAGGCUUUAUCCUAACCCAUAUCUCAAAAUCAAGACCCAUGCAUCUGCAGAAAUCAAAAGGAAACUUUGUAAUCCUAGAUUUAUUUGUUUUGCUCUUGAAAUCACCAGGUAAGGUGUUCUUUCUCUAUUUUUCCUUACAAGAGAACUCAAUUCAACAAGGCUAGAAGAUAUGUUCUCCUACUGUUGAGGAAAACAUAUGCAAAUUUGCAAAGAAGGAUUUAAUCCCAUCAUAGAUUGGUAUUAAUUUCAGGACUUAGAUUACCAUAUGAAGGAGGUGUGUUUUGUAUUUUUCUUGGUAUUACAUUUCUAUCUGAUUAUCCAUUCAAACCCCAAGGUAUACUUGAUUUCCCUAUUCUUUGAGAAAUAGUAAUCUAUAGUUCAUUUUCAACAACAUGACAAUUUAUGUUUUCCGGUUGACGGGUUUAAGUUAUAUCUUUCAGUAGACAAAAGAAACACAAAAGAAGAUGUAUUUUUGUGUUAUGCUUACAUUUGAACAAUUUCUUUUCAAUAUGUUUUAGUAUUCAAGUAGUCGAUAUAAACCAUUUUAUUGUGAUUCCUCUUUUAUGUAAGCUCAUACUCGUUUGUGCAUCUAGAGAAAUCAAAGAAGUGGUGCGCGUAUUAACAUCUGGUUUAAAAGAGACCCAUCAUCAUUUCUGAAAACUUUAUGAUUUUUUUGUUUUGUUUUUGUAAAAAACUGCUGAACUACAGUUGUUAUAUUUGCUUGGUUAAAUAUAUGUAGCAGUCACCGCUACUGAGAAGUGCAGUUACUGGAUGUAACUAGCACUUUUGUAUAUUAAAUUUUCUUAGCGGGGACCUUUACUUUUACUCUUACUGGUUGAGUCAUUAUUAGCACAAUUGAAGUAUAUCUGAAUUAUUUAUUCCUGGAGGUUUGUUGAAAUCAGAGUUUGUCACUUACCUGGAAUGUGUUUAUAUAGGUAUUUAGAUGAAGUAUAAAGUCUACAAUGUUAAGAAUGACGUCUCAUUAGCUAUUGUUAUUGUCCUGCAUCUUCUUAUUUUCUAUAAAUUAUAAAUGAAUAUUUAUACACAUAGUUGGUUGGUGCUGGAUUGAAUUCAAUGUUCUAGUGCGUAUGUUUAUGCUAACAGAUCCGCUCCUCUCGUUGCAGGAAAUAACUAAUUCUCUGCGUCUUCUUGACAAAAGUGAAUCAGUUCCCAGUAUGCUCAAACUGAAAGUACUUCACUUUUACUAACUCAUUGAUAAUUUGUCUUAUCAUUUAGUUGUAGUACAUACUUAGAGGAGUUGCUUACUUCUUACGCUUAUAUCUUUCCAAUUUGUAAUCGAAAGAUUGCCACCCUGUUUAAUCUCAAAACGUAGAGCUUGCAACAAUAAAUAUUUUUUAGAUAUAUAUUUUUUCUCCCUUGGGCAGUUUAUGUACUAAAUUACCUAGUGCUUGACACUUGAAAGUGGAUGCCAUUUACAUUGUUUAUUUUAUUUUUUAGAAAAUUGUUGAGAUUGCUCAUGAUAAUGGUUCUCUUGUGUUGGUGGAUAAAAAUAUAAUGUCCCCUGCAGGAGUCCUUGUUGUCAGGGUGUGGGAAGCAAAUUGAAUAUCCAUUCAUCUGUUUUAAGUAAUGUCGUAGACUUCCUAUUAUUACCUUGUCAAGCAAGUCCAAGAUCGGAAGGAUGAAAACUUGUGUUUUUUUCGUGUGCAGGUUAUACAUAUUUAUGGAAAGCUUUCACCCACCCCCCACCCCCUAGUUGUACGAAGAACCCUGGUUUGGCUCUAAGUUAUCAUCUAGUUACAAACUUUGCUGCAUUAAGCUCGGGCUCGACCUUCUAUAAGGUCUUCAAGACGAAACCAACAGUACUAAGAAAUCACCGAAGAUUUCCAACUAGUGAUGAUGGAAAGAUGAAACUCCGAGAAAUGCGCUUCUCCAACUUCAUACUGAUGUUUGAGCAGUUGAGCAUGUUGAUUUUGAUAGUCUGGUUGCCGAGAAGUUCAGCUUACUUGAACAAUAUAUAAUGGAAAUAGAUAGGCAGCAAAAGGAGGGGUAUAUUGUUUUUAGUUGGCAUUUUUCCGUAAUAGAAAGGGUAUACGUUUUAGUUGUGCAAGUCUGAUCCCAAUUGUCCAUUUGUCAGUUGCUUUCAGUUUUUAUUUAAGAUAUUAAAUUUGGAACAUUUUUUGUUUAUACAGGGAAGGGAUAAUUGCUAGUGGAACUCCUAUUUCAGAUCAUUCUAUUGAUUCCUAUUUCUUGUUAUGGUUUGACUUGUUUUUUAUUAUGGUGAUACAUUUGAUUUAUGUAGUUGGUCGUCGAGUUUUCCCUACCAAUGCCUUCUGUACAUCUCAUAAAGGCGAUGCAGAUCUUUUUUUUAUAUAUAUGUUAUGCAUUACAGGUGCAUAAACUAAGGAAGGAGAAGGCCCACGAACUGGAUGUAAAUGAAGUACAAUAGAGCUCUCAGGUACACCAUUACGAAGUAAGAAUAAGUUCUUCAUCAUCAUCGGAUUUUAUAAUUUUUGUUGUUUAAUCAAAAGUUUUUUAGUUCAUUAUUUUGUAAUCGAAUCCUAGAACUACAGAUUACACUCGUCAGAACUACAAAUUUUAAUCCUUUGUGUAAUUUGAAACCCAUGAAUCCAUGAAUGUUAAAUUGAAUGAUUAUUUUUGUGCAAGCUUAA